rnacentral:rRNA from 1 species
GACGAACGCUGGCGGCGUGCCUAAUACAUGCAAGUAGAACGCUGAAGAGAGGAGCUUGCUCUUCUUGGAUGAGUUGCGAACGGGUGAGUAACGCGUAGGUAACCUGCCUUGUAGCGGGGGAUAACUAUUGGAAACGAUAGCUAAUACCGCAUAACAAUGGAUGACACAUGUCAUUUAUUUGAAAGGGGCAAUUGCUCCACUACAAGAUGGACCUGCGUUGUAUUAGCUAGUAGGUGAGGUAAUGGCUCACCUAGGCGACGAUACAUAGCCGACCUGAGAGGGUGAUCGGCCACACUGGGACUGAGACACGGCCCAGACUCCUACGGGAGGCAGCAGUAGGGAAUCUUCGGAAAUGGGGGCAACCCUGACCGAGCAACGCCGCGUGAGUGAAGAAGGUUUUCGGAUCGGAAAGCUCUGUUGUAAGUCAAGAAAGGGUGUGAGAGUGGAAAGUUCACACUGUGACGGUAGCUUACCAGAAAGGGACGGCUAACUACGUG